UUAAGCGACUAAGCGUACACGGUGGAUGCCCUGGCAGUCAGAGGCGAUGAAGGACGUGCUAAUCUGCGAAAAGCGUCGGUAAGGUGAUAUGAACCGUUAUAACCGGCGAUGUCCGAAUGGGGAAACCCAGUGCAAUUCGUUGCACUAUCGUUAACUGAAUACAUAGGUUAACGAGGCGAACCGGGGGAACUGAAACAUCUAAGUACCCCGAGGAAAAGAAAUCAACCGAGAUUCCCCCAGUAGCGGCGAGCGAACGGGGAGCAGCCCAGAGUCUGAAUCAGCUUGUGUGUUAGUGGAACGGUCUGGAAAGUCCGACGGUACAGGGUGAUAGUCCCGUACACCAAAAUGCACAGGCUGUGAACUCGAAGAGUAGGGCGGGACACGUGGUAUCCUGUCUGAAUAUGGGGGGACCAUCCUCCAAGGCUAAAUACUCCUGACUGACCGAUAGUGAACCAGUACCGUGAGGGAAAGGCGAAAAGAACCCCGGCGAGGGGAGUGAAAAAGAACCUGAAACCGUGUACGUACAAGCAGUGGGAGCACCUUCGGGUGUGACUGCGUACCUUUUGUAUAAUGGGUCAGCGACUUAUAUUCUGUAGCAAGGUUAACCGUAUAGGGGAGCCGCAGGGAAACCGAGUCUUAACUGGGCGUUAAGUUGCAGGGUAUAGACCCGAAACCCGGUGAUCUAGCCAUGGGCAGGUUGAAGGUUGGGUAACACUAACUGGAGGACCGAACCGACUAAUGUUGAAAAAUUAGCGGAUGACUUGUGGCUGGGGGUGAAAGGCCAAUCAAACCGGGAGAUAGCUGGUUCUCCCCGAAAGCUAUUUAGGUAGCGCCUCGUGAAUUCAUCUUCGGGGGUAGAGCACUGUUUCGGCUAGGGGGUCAUCCCGACUUACCAACCCGAUGCAAACUACGAAUACCGAAGAAUGUUAUCACGGGAGACACACGGCGGGUGCUAACGUCCGUCGUGAAGAGGGAAACAACCCAGACCGCCAGCUAAGGUCCCAAAGUCAUGGUUAAGUGGGAAACGAUGUGGGAAGGCACAGACAGCCAGGAUGUUGGCUUAGAAGCAGCCAUCAUUUAAAGAAAGCGUAAUAGCUCACUGGUCGAGUCGGCCUGCGCGGAAGAUGUAACGGGGCUAAACCAUGCACCGAAGCUGCGGCAGCGACACUAUGUGUUGUUGGGUAGGGGAGCGUUCUGUAAGCCUGCGAAGGUGUGCUGUGAGGCAUGCUGGAGGUAUCAGAAGUGCGAAUGCUGACAUAAGUAACGAUAAAGCGGGUGAAAAGCCCGCUCGCCGGAAGACCAAGGGUUCCUGUCCAACGUUAAUCGGGGCAGGGUGAGUCGACCCCUAAGGCGAGGCCGAAAGGCGUAGUCGAUGGGAAACAGGUUAAUAUUCCUGUACUUGGUGUUACUGCGAAGGGGGGACGGAGAAGGCUAUGUUAGCCGGGCGACGGUUGUCCCGGUUUAAGCAUGUAGGCUGGUUAUCCAGGCAAAUCCGGAUAAUCAAGGCUGAGGUGUGAUGACGAGGCACUACGGUGCUGAAGUAACAAAUGCCCUGCUUCCAGGAAAAGCCUCUAAGCAUCAGGUAACAUNAAAUCGUACCCCAAACCGACACAGGUGGUCAGGUAGAGAAUACCAAGGCGCUUGAGAGAACUCGGGUGAAGGAACUAGGCAAAAUGGUGCCGUAACUUCGGGAGAAGGCACGCUGGUGUGUAGGUGAAGUCCCUGCGGAUGGAGCUGAGACCAGUCGAAGAUACCAGCUGGCUGCAACUGUUUAUUAAAAACACAGCACUGUGCAAACACGAAAGUGGACGUAUACGGUGUGACGCCUGCCCGGUGCCGGAAGGUUAAUUGAUGGGGUUAUCCGUAAGGAGAAGCUCUUGAUCGAAGCCCCGGUAAACGGCGGCCGUAACUAUAACGGUCCUAAGGUAGCGAAAUUCCUUGUCGGGUAAGUUCCGACCUGCACGAAUGGCGUAAUGAUGGCCAGGCUGUCUCCACCCGAGACUCAGUGAAAUUGAACUCGCUGUGAAGAUGCAGUGUACCCGCGGCAAGACGGAAAGACCCCGUGAACCUUUACUAUAGCUUGACACUGAACAUUGAGCCUUGAUGUGUAGGAUAGGUGGGAGGCUUUGAAGCGUGGACGCCAGUCUGCGUGGAGCCAACCUUGAAAUACCACCCUUUAAUGUUUGAUGUUCUAACGUUGGCCCCUGACCGGGGUUGCGGACAGUGUCUGGUGGGUAGUUUGACUGGGGCGGUCUCCUCCCAAAGCGUAACGGAGGAGCACGAAGGUUAGCUAAUCCUGGUCGGACAUCAGGAGGUUAGUGCAAUGGCAUAAGCUAGCUUGACUGCGAGCGUGACGGCGCGAGCAGGUGCGAAAGCAGGUCAUAGUGAUCCGGUGGUUCUGAAUGGAAGGGCCAUCGCUCAACGGAUAAAAGGUACUCCGGGGAUAACAGGCUGAUACCGCCCAAGAGUUCAUAUCGACGGCGGUGUUUGGCACCUCGAUGUCGGCUCAUCACAUCCUGGGGCUGAAGUAGGUCCCAAGGGUAUGGCUGUUCGCCAUUUAAAGUGGUACGCGAGCUGGGUUUAGAACGUCGUGAGACAGUUCGGUCCCUAUCUGCCGUGGGCGCUGGAGAAUUGAGGGGGGCUGCUCCUAGUACGAGAGGACCGGAGUGGACGCAUCACUGGUGUUCGGGUUGUCAUGCCAAUGGCACUGCCCGGUAGCUAAAUGCGGAAGAGAUAAGUGCUGAAAGCAUCUAAGCACGAAACUUGCCCCGAGAUGAGUUCUCCCUGAGACUUUAAGUCUCCUGAAGGAACGUUAAAGACGAUGACGUUGAUAGGCCGGGUGUGUAAGCGCAGCGAUGCGUUGAGCUAACCGGUACUAAUGAACCGUGAGGCUUAACCUU
rnacentral:rRNA from 1 species